rnacentral:rRNA from 1 species
AACGAACGCUGGCGGCAGGCUUAACACAUGCAAGUCGAGCGCCCCGCAAGGGGAGCGGCAGACGGGUGAGUAACGCGUGGGAAUCUACCCAUCUCUACGGAAUAACGCAUGGAAACGUGUGCUAAUACCGUAUACGUCCUUCGGGAGAAAGAUUUAUCGGAGAUGGAUGAGCCCGCGUUGGAUUAGCUAGUUGGUGGGGUAAAGGCCUACCAAGGCGACGAUCCAUAGCUGGUCUGAGAGGAUGAUCAGCCUCACUGGGACUGAGACACGGCCCAGACUCCUACGGGAGGCAGCAGUGGGGAAUAUUGGACAAUGGGCGCAAGCCUGAUCCGGCCAUGCCGCGUGAGGGAUGAAGGCCCUAGGGUUGUAAAGCUCUUUCACCGGUGAAGAUAAUGACGGUAACCGGAGAAGAAGCCCCGGCUAACUUCGUGCCAGCAGCCGCCGUAAAAC